GUUAAAAAGCUCGUAGUUGGAUUUCUGGUGGGGUUGUCGGCCUGGCUCCGAAAGGGGUUGUGGCUUGACACACCUUGCCAUCCUCGGGGGUAGCUUCGCUGGCAUUAAGUUGUCGGCGGAGUGACGCUCGUCGUUUACUGUGAACAAAUUAGAGUGUUCAAAGCAGGUUUAGGCCGUUGAAUACAUUAGCAUGGAAUAAUAAGAUAGGACUUUGGUGGUCUAUUUUGUUGGUUUGCACGCCGAAGUAAUGAUUAAUAGGGGCGGUUGGGGGUAUUCGUGUUCAAUUGUCAGAGGUGAAAUUCUUGGAUUUAUGGAAGACGAACUACUGCGAAAGCAUUUACCAAGGAUGUUUUCAUUAAUCAAGAACGAAAGUUAGGGGAUCGAAGAAGAUUAGAUACCUUCGUAGUCUUAACCAUAAACUAUGCCGACUAGGGAUUGGCGGUCGUUUGUUCAGACUCCGUCAGCACCUUAUGA
rnacentral:rRNA from 1 species